UGGGGAAUAUUGCACAAUGGGCGCAAGCCUGAUGCAGCCAUGCCGCGUGUGUGAAGAAGGUCUUCGGGUUGUAAAGCACUUUCAGCGGGGAGGAAGGCGAUAAGGUUAAUAACCUUGUCGAUUGACGUUACCCGCAGAAGAAGCACCGGCUAACUCCGUGCCAGCAGCCGCGGUAAUACGGAGGGUGCAAGCGUUAAUCGGAAUUACUGGGCGUAAAGCGCACGCAGGCGGUCUGUCAAGUCGGAUGUGAAAUCCCCGGGCUCAACCUGGGAACUGCAAUCGAAACUGGCAGGCUAGAGUCUUGUAGAGGGGGGUAGAAUUCCAGGUGUAGCGGUGAAAUGCGUAGAGAUCUGGAGGAAUACCGGUGGCGAAGGCGGCCACCUGGACAAAGACUGACGCUCAGGUGCGAAAGCGGGGGGAGCAAACAGG
rnacentral:rRNA from 1 species